rnacentral:rRNA from 1 species
CCUACGGGAGGCAGCAGUGGGGAAUUUUGGACAAUGGGGGAAACCCUGAUCCAGCCAUUCCGCGUGAGUGAAGAAGGCCUUCGGGUUGUAAAGCUCUUUCGGCAGGAACGAAACGGCGGACUCUAACAUAGUCUGUCAAUGACGGUACCUGAAGAAGAAGCACCGGCUAACUACGUGCCAGCAGCCGCGGUAAUACGUAGGGUGCGAGCGUUAAUCGGAAUUACUGGGCGUAAAGCGUGCGCAGGCGGCUUUGUAAGACGGAUGUAAAAUCCCUGGGCUUAACCUAGGAACUGCGUUCGUGACUGCAAAGCAAGAGUGCGGCAGAGGGGGGUGAAAUUCCUGGUGUAGCAGCAAAAUGCGUAGAGAUCAGGAGGAACACCGGUGGCGAAGGCGGCUCUCUGGACUAAUACUGACGCUGAGGCGCGAAAGCUAGGGGAGCAAACGGGAUUAGAUCCCCUUGUAUU